rnacentral:rRNA from 1 species
GGAUUAGGCAUGCAAGUCGAACGAAUGCCGGGUAGCAAUAUUCGGCGGAAGUGGCGAAAGGGGCAGUAAUGCGUGGAUAACCUACCCUGGGGAUGGGCAUAGCCGGUCUAACGGCCGGGUAAUACCCAGAGAGUCGGCUGCGGGGCAUCUCGCUGGCCGGGAAAUGAAUUUCGCCUCGGGAGGGGUCACGUGGUAUUAGCUUGUUGAUGAGGUAACGGCUCACCAAGGCUGAGAUGCCUAGCAGGUGUGAGAGCACGACCUGCGCCACUGGCACUGAGACACUGGCCAGACUCCUACGGGAGGCUGCAGUCGAGGAUCUUCGGCAAUGGGCGCAAGCCUGACCGAGCGACGCCGCGUGUGCGAUGAAGGCCUUCGGGUUGUAAAGCACUGUCGAGGGGGAGGAAGCCGAAAGGUUGACCUAUCCCUGGAGGAAGCACGGGCUAAGUUCGUGCCAGCAGCCGCGGUAAGACGAACCGUGCGAACGUUAUUCGGAAUCACUGGGCUUAAAGGGCGCGUAGGCGGGCCACCAAGUCCGGGGUGAAAUCCUCCAGCUUAACUGGAGAAGUGCCUCGGAUACUGGUGAUCUCGAGGAGGGUAGGGGCAUCUGGAACUAGCGGUGGAGCGGUGAAAUGCGUUGAUAUCGCUAGGAACUCCGGUGGCGAAGGCGAGGUGCUGGACCCUUUCUGACGCUGAGUGCGCGAAAGCCAGGGGAGCGAACGGGAUUAGAUACCCCGGUAGUCCUGGCCCUAAACGAUGAGAACUAGAUAGCGGACUUGAUAUGGGUUCGCUGUCGGAGCAAAAGUGCUAAGUUCUCCGCCUGGGGAGUAUGGUCGCAAGGC